CUGGAGAUCCAGAAACAAAAUCUAAACCAGCUGCUGUUUUGAGGCGGGUGCCUUACUUCAGCUUACUCAAAAGAACACAAGAUGAACGGAGGAAGAACAAGAGAUGCUUGUUUCAGAAUUCAAUUGUUUCAGAGAGAUCCCAACUGCAGGCAGAGUGCAGCAAUGGAGGCAGCAGCCCACGAAGAGGACAAGGAAGAAUCAGGGCAAACCCCCAUUAUGUCAGCACAGCUGUGUGCGUGGUUGGACAGCCCACGUCACUCAUGGUUGGUUGUUUUUUGGAUAACUUUUUCAUAGCUUGACAUUAAAAGACAGGAUGAGCUUUCCCGUAUGCUGAAGGCACGGCAGAGCUGUGCUGAGCCAGUGGGAACAUCACUAUUUGUUUGCGUGGGUAACAGUCCCGGCCCUUGUGGCACAAACAAUUUUGUUUGGGGCCAUGAGAGCAGAAGUUCCCUACGCAGAACUGAUGUAGGGUCACCACAGCUUUGUGACAUCAACACCAAGCCCACCAAACCACAUCCUUAAGUGUCUCUAUCUUUCACCCAAACACAGGGACCCCACCUGGGCAGUCUGUUCCAGUGCAUUAUCACUCC
rnacentral:lncRNA from 1 species